rnacentral:rRNA from 1 species
CCCUUAGAUGAUUUGGGCUGCACGCGCGCUACACUGACCCUAACAAUGAGCAACUGUCUGGCCUGAGAUGGCUGGGUAGCCUUUUCAACCCAUGUCAUGAUUGGGCUAGAUUUUUGUAAGUCUUGAUCUCUAACGAGGAAUCCCUAGUAUGCGUGAAUCAUCAAUCCAAGCAGAUUAUGUCCCUGCCCUUUGUACACACCGCCCGUCGCACCUACCGAUUGGAUGGUCCGGUGAAGCCUCGGGAUUGUGGUUCUUGCCGCUUUAUUGUGGCGUGACCGCGAGAACUUGUCUAAACCUUAUCAUCUAGAGGAAGGUGAAGUCGUAACA